rnacentral:rRNA from 1 species
GCGACCUCAGCUCAGGCGGGGCUACCCGCUGAGUUUAAGCAUAUCAAUAAGCGGAGGAAAAGAAACUAACG